CCUACGGGAGGCAGCAGUGGGGAAUAUUGGACAAUGGGGGAAACCCUGAUCCAGCGACGCCGCGUGAGUGAAGAAGUAUUUCGGUACGUAAAGCUCUAUCAGCAGGAAAGAAAAUGACGGUACCUGACUAAGAAGCCCCGGCUAACUACGUGCCAGCAGCCGCGGUAAUACGUAGGGGGCAAGAGUUAUCCGGAUUUACUGGGUGGAAAGGGAGCGUAGACGGCAGCGCAAGUCUGGAGUGAAAUGCCGGGGCCCAACCCCGGAACUGCCCGGGAAACUGUGGAGCUGGAGUGCAGGAGAGGUAAGCGGAAGACCUGGUGUAGCGGUGAAAUGCGGAGAUAUCAGGAGGAAAACCGGCGGCGAAGGCGGCUUACUGGACUGUAACUGACGUUGAGGCUCGAAGGCGUGGGGAGCAAACAGGAUUAGAUACCCGAGUAGUC
rnacentral:rRNA from 1 species